UGGAUAGUGUGAUAGAUCUCCGACGAGCUUCCAACAAUCUAUAAAACAUAGAAAAGAAACUACGUAAGCAAUUAAUGCUUAAUAAGUUCGUAUAGAUCAAAACAUAACUUACAAUUUCAAUUUGCAUAAUUUAAACUUACAAUUUCAAUUUGCAUAAUUUAAAGCAUAAGUACAUUAUAGUCCAAACCAUAAGCUUGUUAAAAGCCUAUACAUCACCAUCAAUACACAAGUUAGCACAUUUGUACAUAACUCGUUCGAACUAACCAUAAGAUAAGUCAUUUUCCAUAAGAAAUGCAUCAUUUGAUUUAUGUAUCCUUUCCAUAAGCUUAUGCAUAAUUCCAUUUGAAAACUUAUCAUUUCGUUUCCUUUUCAUACCCGUUGAACCAACUAGAAUUUCAUCGGAUACUCAAGAGAGCUCACACAAAGUGUGCCUUUACAUAACCGUAACAUUUCCUUUACAUCAUUGCUCAAACAAGCUGUGAAAUGGGUCUGUUCACACAAGCUAUGGGUCAGAAUGUAAGCUACUCAAUGUUGCUCACAUGAGCUGUGGAGUAUCCGCAACAAAUGCAUGACCUCAGCCAUUGGUAGAACAUUCAAGACCAACACCUGAAACAUGAAAUCCCUAAUAACAUGUCAUUCGUAUCCUACAAAUUCCUAAGGUUCAACCGGGACUCGAUAACCUUCAUAGAAUUAAUUUAUUUACACAUCAUUAAAUUAACAUUAUAAGUAACAUAAUAACAUACAAUUUAAAUAGAAUUAAUACAAUAACCAUUCAUACGAACUGACCUCAACGACUAGGGCGUAGAAGUUAAAUCGAGCUAAUCCAAAGCUUUUACUUUGCCUCGAUCUAAGUCUGUACAUGGUUUACCUUGAUCUAAAUAGAAAUUUUCAAUUCAUUUAAUACUUAUAGUAUUCAAUUUAAUCCACAUUUCAUAUUUAUGCAAAAUUACAAUUUUGUCCCUAAUAUUUUAACUUUUUCACAAUUUAGUCUUUAGACUAAUAACUUAAAAUCUAACCAUUUUAAUCAAAAUCCAUGUUAACUAAACAUGCAAGGGACCUUGAAAGAACCCAUAUUUGUCAUCACUUCACAAUAAAACCCUAGAAUUUAUACCUUUAACAAAUUAGUCACUAAUUCCAAAUUACAUCAAAAAUCACUUUGUAAAACUUGUUUAUUUAAAAAAGAUUCAUAAUAUAUCAUCUAAAAUCAAAAAAACAUUCAGGAACAUUCAUGGCAUAACCCUCAAUCUUUAGCAGUUUUACAAAUUAACCCUCGGGCUAGCUAGAUUAAGCUAAAAUGACUUCAAAAACAUAGAAAUCAUUAAAAACAAGGUUGAAAAUCAUACCAUGCAAGCAAGGAAGCUUGACUGAACCUUGAAACUUCAAAAAUGGAGUUUCCUAUCCCUAAUUUCGAUGGAUAAAACAAACUAAAGAAGAUGAUAUAGAUUUUUACCUUAUUUUACUUUAACUUAAUUAUUAAAUUACCUUUUUAACCUUACUUAUUAACUUUAAAAAUCACUUAAAUUAUGUCCAUAAUUUUCCACUAAUCUUAUUUAUGGUAUAAUUACCAUUUAAAUCCACUUAGUUUCAUUUCAAUAGUCAUUUAACCCUUUUAACUAAUAGAACUCCACUUUGGUACUUUUUACGAUUUAGUCCCUUUUACUAAUUAAUCAUGAAAACAUCAAAAUUUCUUAACAAAAUUUAAAUAUGGCCCUAAUAUUAUCCCAUAAACAUUAAAAUAAUAAUAAAAUAAUAAUUUACUCGUCAGGUUUGUGGUCCCAAAACUACUAUUUUGAUAUAUUUAGAAACAGGCUCUUACAGAUAUGAAUUAUAAAGAUAUGUGAACUUGCAAGGAAAAGAUGAAUCAUGAUAUAUGUAAGAGCUAUGAAUUUUGAAAUUGAAAUACUUGAUAUGUUAUAUACCUUGUUUGGUUGGAUAUAUAUAUAUAUGUAUUGCUUCACCUACUAACCUUGUGAGGUGUUGUGUAUAAGAGAAGGAAAUUUGACCUAUGACUGAGUGGAAUUAUUCAUGGUUGUUUAAUUUAAUGCAUUUGGUAAGUUUAAGUUCUUUAUACGAGCUUAUUAAGCAUUAGUUUCUUACAUAGUUGAUUUUCUCUAUUUCUACAGGUCAUCGAAAAGCUUGAACGAUUGGAAUCAAUGUCAGAGCACGAUCACAUUAUCCAUCGAUCCAUUUUGGUAGUUUUUAAAUAUAUGGAAAUGGUUAUAAAUGACAUGUAUAGGGUUGUAUGUUAUUUUGGUAACUUGGGAUGUUUUGAAAUUGUGCCAAUCUUUUAUUGUGUUUUAAUAUCCUAUGAUGAUAAUUGGUACUUGAUGAUAUAAAUAUGUGUUUUGGUUAUUAGUGAAUGUCUUGUGAUUAGGUAACUUUUUAGUAUAUUGAAGUGUGAUUGAAACGAUUGAAUGGUAGGUAUGUGAUGUAUGUAUGGAAUAUGAAACUGUGUCAUUGAGGUUGAAUUGUUUAGAUGUUUAAUUGUGGUACCAAUAAGGUUACAUUGGAUAAGAUUUUGAAUUAUAUGUUAUAUGUGUGGUUUUGGAAUGUUUUGGUCUUGUUUAAGUGUGUUUGAGUAUGUAAAUUGGUUGGUAAAUUGUAGGUUUGUGUCUCAAGUAAGCAUAUUUGGUAAACUUGAGUUUUAAGGCACAUUUAGAUGCACACGGCCUGAGACACGGUGUGUCACACACAGGCAGCCACACGAGCAUGUGCCCUGAGUGUAUUGUAAAACUAUAUAUGUAACACCCCGUACCCGAAACUGUUGCCGGAGUCAAGCACGAGGCAUUACUUAACUUAUCUUACUAAUUCGGAGCAUAAAAACUUGGUUUGAAAAUUUAUUUCACUAUUUACAGCAAUCUGUCCAAUCGCGCAGCAGUUACUAAAUUAAUUAUAACUUGAGCUACAGAACUCGAAAUUUAACUCCGUAAAUUUUCCCUGAAACUAGACUCAUAUAUCUACUUACCAUAAAAUUUUCAGAAUUUUUAGUCGGGCCAAUUAGUACAGUUUAUUAGUUAAAGUCUCCCCUGUUUCACCACCUGACUAUCCUGACCUCUUGUCACUAAAAAUAAGUUUUCUCACUGUAGGAUUUUCAUAUGAAGUUUUUACUUGUUUCUACAGAAAAUAGACUCAAUAAGGAAUCUAUACAUAUAAAUUAUAACUCAUAAAUCCUUCUUUAUAAUUUUUAAUGAAUUUCUAAAGUCAGAACAGGGGACUUCACAAACGUUCUUGACCUGUUUUACUAAAAUUCAAAUAUCUAAAAAUAUAUAACUCUUUUGCUUACUCUUUUUCUUUCAUGUGAACAUAGACUCAUUCAUCUUUAAUUUCAUAUCUUAUUCAGCUUCUAAUUCAAUUUACACUAUUUUUGGUGAUUUUUCAAAGUUACCUCAAUGCUGCUGUCCAAGAACUGCUCCAUAAAAUAAAAAAAAUUAAAUAUAACCCCUUUAUAAUUAUCUAACCUUCCCUGCAAAUUUAAAUCACAACCCAUUCCAGUAUUUCAACUACUUCAUUUAAAUACUAAUGAAGUUCAACCAAUCAACCAUUUCAAAUUAAAAACAUGUAUAUAUUUCGAUAUCUAACACAACCAUAACAUUCAAAUUUAUUUUGCAUACUUAGUCAUUCAUACUAAUACUUUUUAUUUCAAUUCCCUANNNNNNNNNNNNNNNNNNNNNNNNNNNNNNNNNNNNNNNNNNNNNNNNNNNNNNNNNNNNNNNNNNNNNNNNNNNNNNNNNNNNNNNNNNNNNNNNNNNNAUCCUCCGAACGUAUAUAUAUAUAUAUAUAUCAAUCUACAAGAAACAUUAAACACACACAAGUAAGUUUAUGGAAGCUUAGUAAGUUCAUAGGCUCAUAAUAAAAUCUUACCACAAUUUCACUAACAAUAUUAAUAGACAAAUAAAAAUUCAACACUUCCUGCCAACCACAAUUUCAUACCAUGACUCUAUCCAAUCGAGCUCGAUGUCAGAUGUCAACUUAUUUUUCGACAUUUAGCUUCAAUUGCACUUACAAAUAAACACUUGUCAAAUUAAGGAUCGUCUUACGGAUUUGAGUACAUCGCUUUCCCGGUGCCACGGUUUGCUUGGAUGUUUCACAUUGCUAUAACUCAGUAUGGUUUUCUUCAUUGAAACACCAUACCUACUUUUUGCAACUCAGUAUGGUUUUCUUCACUGAAACACCAUACCUACUUUUCGCAACUCAGUAUGGUUUUCUUCACUGAAACACCAUACCUACUUUUCACAACUCAGUAUGGUUUUCUUCACUGAAACACCAUACCUACUUUUCACAUUUUGCCAUGGAGCCACAAUGGACUUAUCCGUCAAUUCAUCACUGGUUGUCGAACGUAUGUACUCAAUCCUGUGGAUCCCUUAAUUUGAACUAACAAUCUCAUUUUAUUCUCAUUUUUACCAUACUCAUAAUUCAACAACAAUAUACAAAUUGAUACAUUAUAUCAUUUCCAGAUUAACAAUUAAUCAUAAAAAUUCAGCCAUAUGAACUUACCUGGGUCAAUUUGCUGAAUUCGUAAAAGUUCAGGGACUAAUCAGCUACUUUUUCUUUUCCUCGACUUGUUUCAGGUUCUCGAUCUAAAAUGCAAAUUUAUUCAUUCAUCAGCAUUUAAUUCUAUUCUAAUUCAUUUUGCAGUUUCUGCCCUUAAAUUUUCGAAAUUACACUUUUACCCCAAAUUUUACAGUUUUUACACUUUGAUCCUUACUCAAUUAACCCAUCAAUUGAUCUAGUUUUUCUCAAUUAACACCUUGUCCAACUAUUUUAGACUACUAAAUAUCCUUUCAUAUUCAAAACCGCAACACCAAACCCUAAUUCCAGACUUUCUCACAAUUAAGUCCCUAAAAUCAAUUUCUACCAAAAUUACUUAAUAAAAUCAUCAUAUAAUAAAAUUAAAGCUUUAAUUCUAUGAUAAUUCAUCAUAAAAUUCCAGAACUCACUCAUGGUAACUUUCAAAAUCGUUCAUAGAAUCAAAACUAAUGAAUUCAAUAGUUGGACCUAGUUGUAAAAGUCACAAAACAUGAAAAAUUACAAAGAAAAAGCAAGAAUUGAGCUUACAUGGUGUAAAAAUAUGAAAACCCAGCUUUCUUCAGACCUUCUAUGGCGUUUUUGCUGAUAAAAUAUGAAGAGAUCUCU
rnacentral:lncRNA from 1 species